UAAAGCAUAGCGUUAAUGCAUCGGAUCCCAUUAGAACUUUGCAGUUAAGCAUACUCAGGCUAGAGUAGUACUGCGAUGGGUGACCUCCUGGGAAGUCCCAGUGUUUUAC
rnacentral:rRNA from 1 species